CCCAGAUAGCCUACCCAGGUAGGAUUAAUCAUUGGCAUUGAUUAAUUAAUUCAAUUUGCUUUUGCAAAUUCAUUCACGUCCAACUUCCACAUUACUGGUACAGUACUGAUGGUUCGUCAACAUCUAUAAAUAGAUUAAACUUGUCUUUGCAGCUUCCAAUGAAUUCCAAACCCAAACAUUGAAAAAAAAAUAGGAACAUUUUUCCUCUAAAUUUUUCUAAUAAUGUGCAAGCUACCAAAGGAGGUGGUCACCACUCCUCCGCUAAUUAGUGAACCUCCACCCAUAAAAGGAUUGAUCUCUGACCUCAGCAGGGAUACCAACCCUAAUUAUGACAUUAGCGAAAACACAGCCGAAAUUGCGAACGCUCUCCAAAAUCAACCAUCAAACACAGGCUUUGUGACGGUUCUCUCCACUUUAGCACUUAUGUAUCGCCAUCAAAGGUUGGCAUCGAUCCAAUACCACAGUGCACAGCUGAAGCACGUGCAAGACAUGGCUAACAUGAGGGCAAAGGUGGAGAGAACUGAGCAACUAUUGACAAAAGCAGGAAAUGAAAACAUUCUGCUAGCCGAGGAACUGCGUUUGAAAUUGGAAGAAUUAAAAGUAAUUGCAAAUACUUAUGACGAUGAACGAGCACAAACUCUCGAACAAAAUCGUCAUCUGCAGGAACAACUCGAUUUAGCCAAAACUAAAUACGAUGUAGUCCACUCCAAACUCGAGUUAUCUAUAAACAGGAGCGCACAAUUUGAUAACAUGCAGGCAGUUUUGUUGAACGUUACUCAAGGUAACAAUGUUCUACUCCAAAUUCUGCAGACCAAAGACGAUCAGUUGAUGACCACAAUGACAAAGUUGGAUGACAAAUCAGCAGAACUUAUUGAAGUCGCUGACCAAAUGAAUGAUGAGAGAACUCAGGUGAUGAGGAUGGAAAUAUUGAUUUCUAAGCAAGCAGAGGAAAUCUCAUCACUGAAUCUCUCGCUCCGUACUCGAGACCUCUAUCUGCAAACCAUGACAGAUAAGUUUGAGCCCGAAAGGAGCAGAUGUGACACUCACGUGUCCAAAAUUGGUACUCUAAGCGCUCAAGUGGACUCUGCAAUGCAACAGAAGACCACCCUUAGGUACCAUCUGGAGGAAGUCCAGAAUGGUCACGCUCUACAGCAUGACUACCCAUCCAAGCAACCGGAGUCCGGUACUCAAAGGAGUGAAGACGAUAGGUUUCAGACAUUGCAUCCAUCAUGUGUCCCUCAGUCUUCUCCUCUUGGCCAUUCGGCACUGAGUAAUAUGGAGCCUCUUGGCCAACAAAGCCAAAGCACGGCUUCUCCUCUUGGCCUGUCGGUCCCAAUUUCUCCACAGGAUGAAGCCAACCCUCUCCGGCCGCUUGACGCGGAAUACCUUGACAAACUCGUCAAGAAUUUCC
rnacentral:lncRNA from 1 species